rnacentral:rRNA from 1 species
GAGAACCUUACCUGGGUUGAACUACGCAGGAAAAGCCGUAGAGAUACGGUGUCCGAAAGGGCCUGCGAUAGGUGGUGCAUGGCUGUCGUCAGCUCGUGUCGUGAGAUGUUGGGUUAAGUCCCGCAACGAGCGCAACCCUUAUCCUAUGUUGCCAGCGGGUAAUGCCGGGGACUCGUAGGAGACUGCCGGGGUCAACUCGGAGGAAGGUGGGGACGACGUCAAGUCAUCAUGCCCCUUAUGUCCAGGGCUGCACACAUGCUACAAUGGCCGGUACAAAGGGCUGCUAACUCGCGAGGGUGAGCGAAUCCCAAAAAGCCGGUCUCAGUUCGGAUCGGAGUCUGCAGCUCGACUCCGUGAAGCUGGAGUCGCUAGUAAUCCCGGAUCAGCAACGCCGGGGUGAAUACGUUCCCGGGUC